GAAGGCUUGACCUCAAAUCAGGUAGGACUACCCGCUGAACUUAAGCAUAUCAAUAAGCGGAGGAAAAGAAACUAACGAGGAUUCCCCUAGUAACUGCGAGUGAAGCGGGAAAAGCUCAAAUUUCGAAUCUGGCGGUCCCUGGCCCGUCCGAGUUGUAAUCUAGAGAAGCGUCUUCCGCGCUGGACCGUGUACAAGUCUCCUGGAAGGGAGCAUCGUAGAGGGUGACAAUCCCGUCUCUGACACGGACUCCCAGGGCUAUGUGAUGCGCUCUCGACGAGUCGAGUUGUUUGGGAAUGCAGCUCUAAUUGGGUGGUAAACUCCAUCUAAAGCUAAAUACAGGCGAGAGACCGAUAGCGAACAAGUACCGUGAGGGAAAGAUGAAAAGAACUUUGGAAAGAGAGUUAAACAGUACGUGAAAUUGCUGGAAGGGAAACGCUUCAAGUCAGUCGCGUCGGCCGGGGAUCAACCUUGCUUCUUGCUGGGCGCAUUUCCUGGUCGACGGGUCAGCAUCGAUUUCGGUUGUCGUACAAGGGUGGAAGCGAACGUGGCACUCCUCGGAGUGUGUUAUAGCCUCUCACACGCAUGCGACGACUGGGAUCGAGGAACUCAGCACGACCCUUCGGGGUUCGGGGCUUCGGCUCACUCCCUGCUAGU
rnacentral:rRNA from 1 species